rnacentral:rRNA from 1 species
CAGCAGUGAGGAAUAUUGGUCAAUGGGCGAGAGCCUGAACCAGCCAAGUCGCGUGAAGGACGACGGUUCUAUGGAUUGUAAACUUCUUUUGUAGAGGAAUAAUGGCAGCUACGUGUAGCUGAGAUGCAUGUACUCUACGAAUAAGUAUCGGCUAACUCCGUGCCAGCAGCCGCGGUAAUACGGAGGAUACGAGCGUUAUCCGGAAUUAUUGGGUUUAAAGGGUGCGUAGGUGGCGUAUUAAGUCAGUGGUGAAAAGCUGCAGCUCAACUGUAGUCUUGCCGUUGAAACUGAUAUGCUAGAGAGGAGACGAGGUAUGCGGAAUGUGUGGUGUAGCGGUGAAAUGCAUAGAUAUCACACAGAACGCCGAUUGCGAAGGCAGCGUACCAGGCUCCGUCUGACACUGAAGCACGAAAGCGUGGGGAUCAAACAGGAUUAGAUACCCUGGUAGUCCACGCAGUAAACGAUGAAUACUAGAUUUUUGCGAUAUACUGUAAGAGUCUAAGCGAAAGCGAUAAGUAUUCCACCUGGGGAGUACGCCGGCAACGGUGAAACUCAAAUGAAUUGACGG